rnacentral:piRNA from 1 species
UACAAGUCUAUGACGAAGUGAAUGAUGC